rnacentral:rRNA from 1 species
UACAGAGGUCUCAAGCGUUGUUCGGAUUCAUUGGGCGUAAAGGGUGCGUAGGUGGCGGGGUAAGUCAGGUGUGAAAUCUCGGGGCUCAACCCCGAAACUGCAUUUGAUACUGCCUUGCUCGAGUACUGGAGAGGAGAUUGGAAUUUACGGUGUAGCAGUGAAAUGCGUAGAUAUUGGGAAGAACACCGGUGGCGAAGGCGACCAUCUGGACGACAACUGACGCUGAGGCGCGAAAGCGUGGGGAGCAAACAGG